CUUUCUUGAAGUCUUAGGCGUGAUUGUGAGUCCUCAUCAUUUCAGGGAAAUUACUUUCCUCCACAAGGAUGUUCUUCACUCUCCUCUUCCUCUUGGAAGUUCUCCAUCUUGUCUCCAGCCAAGUGUUCCAAUCCGAGCAACUGAUCCUCAUGGAAAAAGAGGAGAUUGUCUUAAAGUGCACUCACAACAUCACUGUCAUUAACAACAUGUAUUGGUACAAGCAAACUGGUGGAGUCCUCACAUUUCUGGGGGCCAACUAUAAUGGAAAAUUGGAUCUUCCUGGCAGAUUUACGAUGGACGUGGACCAAAAAUCCCGCUUGAGCAAACUUACAAGAGACGUAGCGAGGCUGAAAGAUGCUGGUGUGUACUUCUGUGCUGUGAGAGACACAGCAGCAGGAAGCAAGCUGGCCUUAGUUCAAAAAUGA